rnacentral:piRNA from 1 species
ACUCUUCUACACAGGAAACCUC